GAACCGUGCGAACGUUGUUCGGAUUCACUGGGCUUAAAGGGCGCGUAGGCGGGCGACCCAGUCGGGGGUGAAAGCCCCCGGCCCAACCGGGGAAGGGCCCCCGAUACUGGUCGCCUCGAGGGGGGUAGGGGCAGGCGGAACUUCCGGUGGAGCGGUGAAAUGCGUAGAUAUCGGAAGGAACGCCGGUGGCGAAAGCGGCCUGCUGGACCCCCGCUGACGCUGAGGCGCGAAAGCCAGGGGAGCAAACGGGAUUAGAUACCCCGGUAGUCCUGGCCCUAAACGAUGGGUACUAGGCUGUGGGCCGGCAUGGGCUCACAGCCGAAGCCAAAGUGUUAAGUACCCCGCCUGGGGAGUAUGGUCGCAAGGCUGAA
rnacentral:rRNA from 1 species